UCAUAUUGCCCGUAGACAGCAGGUGCCUCGUGCGUAAAUCCUGCCGAGGAAUUUGCUUGUUUUUAGAGCGUAUAUUAAGCCUCUUUGUCUAUGUGCAAAGAGGCUUUUUCAUCA
rnacentral:sRNA from 1 species